CCUACGGGGGGCAGCAGUAGGGAAUCUUCCGCAAUGGGCGAAAGCCUGACGGAGCAACGCCGCGUGAGUGAUGAAGGUUUUCGGAUCGUAAAGCUCUGUUGCCAGGGAAGAACGUCCGGUAGAGUAACUGCUACCGGAGUGACGGUACCUGAGAAGAAAGCCCCGGCUAACUACGUGCCAGCAGCCGCGGUAAUACGUAGGGGGCAAGCGUUGUCCGGAAUUAUUGGGCGUAAAGCGCGCGCAGGCGGCUAUUUAAGUCUGGUGUUUAAACCUUGGGCUCAACCUGAGGUCGCACUGGAAACUGGGUGGCUUGAGUACAGAAGAGGAAAGUGGAAUUCCACGUGUAGCGGUGAAAUGCGUAGAGAUGUGGAGGAACACCAGUGGCGAAGGCGACUUUCUGGGCUGUAACUGACGCUGAGGCGCGAAAGCGUGGGGAGCAAACAGGAUUAGAUACCCCGGUAGUC
rnacentral:rRNA from 1 species